rnacentral:rRNA from 1 species
GACAGAGGGUGCAAACGUUGCUCGGAUUUACUGGGCGUAAAGCGCAUGUAGGCGGGCGAUUAAGUCGGGUGUGAAAUCCCUGGGCUCAACCUAGGAACUGCAUCCGAAACUGAUCACCUUGAGUAGUGGAGAGGAAAGCGGAAUUCCGGGUGUAGAGGUGAAAUUCGUAGAUAUCCGGAGGAACACCAGUGGCGAAGGCGGCUUUCUGGACACUAACUGACGCUGAGAUGCGAAAGCGUGGGGAGCAAACAGGAUUAGAAACCCCAGUAGUCC